ACUUCCUAUGUAACCAGGCAUGGCAAAUAGCAGGAGGUGGGCAGAGAGCACGAAUCCCAGUGUCUCACGGAAAACAGGAAAGACUUCCACUGAACCACUAGCAAAGUGGGGAGACUGACCACCUUCUUAGUAACCACCUGGAACUAUUAAUCUCUUACUCUAAUGAGCAGGGGAUUUCACAUAAUUCAUCUACUUCUCCAUUGACAAAAGAUGUGGACCUUGUGUGAGACAGCAUUUGAUGCCUUCUUCAACACCUGACACCAAUGGCAUCUAAAUAUAAAACUCAUCAGACAAAGACCUUGGGAUACUGGC